AGGGUUUCCUGUAUGGUCGCCCCUCUAGUUUGAGGGGAGGAAAGUCCGGGCUCCACAGGGCAGGAGGCUACCGAAAGGUAGAUGGGGGUAACCUCAUGGUUAGGGCAACAGAGAGGAGACUUCCUGAUUUAGUAUCCUAAACAUUGAUGUAGGUGGUUAUCCACCGAAAAUGGAUACUAAAUCAGGUAAAGGUGAAAGGGUAGGGUAAGAGCCUACCACUUACCAGUGUGAGCUGGUAAGUUUGCCCGCCCCUCCGGAGCAAUCCCAAGUAGGAGAGCAUUUUAGGGUGGCCCGCCCUAAUGGGAGUUUAUCUCCCUAUGCUCUCGGGUAGGGAGCUAAGAUAAAUGACCAUAUUCAACAGAACCCGGCUUAUAGGGAAGCCCUACCU
rnacentral:RNase_P_RNA from 1 species